UACGUAGGGUGCGAGCGUUAACCGGAAUUACUGGGCGUAAAGCGUGCGCAGGCGGUUUGUUGUGUCGGUGGUGAAAUCCCCGGGCUUAACCUGGGAAUGGCCAUGGAAACUGGCGGACUGGAGUGCGGCAGAGGGGGGUGGAAUUCCGCGUGUAGCAGUGAAAUGCGUAGAGAUGUGGAGGAACACCGAUGGCGAAGGCAGCCCCCUGGGUUAACACUGACGCUCAGGCACGAAAGCGUGGGGAGCAAACAGG
rnacentral:rRNA from 1 species